GCCUGAUGCAGCGACGCCGCGUGAGGGAUGACGGCCUUCGGGUUGUAACCUCUUUCAGCAGGGAAGAAGCGAAAGUGACGGUACCUGCAGAAGAAGCGCCGGCUAACUACGUGCCAGCAGCCGCGGUAAUACGUAGGGCGCAAGCGUUGUCCGGAAUUAUUGGGCGUAAAGAGCUCGUAGGCGGCUUGUCACGUCGAUUGUGAAAGCCCGAGGCUUAACCUCGGGUCUGCAGUCGAUACGGGCUAGCUAGAGUGUGGUAGGGGAGAUCGGAAUUCCUGGUGUAGCGGUGAAAUGCGCAGAUAUCAGGAGGAACACCGGUGGCGAAGGCGGAUCUCUGGGCCAUUACUGACGCUGAGGAGCGAAAGCGUGGGGAGCGAACAGGAUUAGAUACCCC
rnacentral:rRNA from 1 species